CGGGUGUAGCUCAAUGGUAGAGCCCCAGCCUUCCAAGCUGGCCAUGCCGGUUCGAUCCCGGUCACCCG
rnacentral:tRNA from 1 species